rnacentral:rRNA from 1 species
GUGGGGAAUAUUGGUCAAUGGGCGGAAGCCUGAACCAGCCAUCCCGCGUGAAGGAAGGCGGCCCUAUGGGUUGUAAACUUCUUUAGUACAUGAAGAACAGGAUCUACGCGUAGGUUUAUGACGGUAAUGUACAAAAAAGCAUCGGCUAACUCCGUGCCAGCAGCCGCGGUAAUACGGAGGAUGCGAGCGUUAUCCGGAUUCAUUGGGUUUAAAGGGUACGUAGGUGGCCCUGUAAGUCAGUGGUGAAAAUCUGCCGCUUAACGGUAGGGGUGCCAAUGAUACUGCGGGGCUUGAGUACAGUUGAGGUAGGUGGAAUGUGUAGUGUAGCGGUGAAAUGCAUAGAUAUUACACAGAACUCCGAUUGCGAAGGCAUCUUACUAAGCUGAAACUGACACUGAUGUACGAAAGCGUGGGGAUCGAACAGGAUUAGAUACCCCUGUAGUCC